ensembl:misc_RNA Metazoa_SRP Metazoan signal recognition particle RNA
GCUGGGUGUGGUGGCUCACGCCUGUAAUCCCAGCACUUUGGGAGGCUGAGGUGGGUGGAUCACCUGAGGUCAGGAGUUCGAGACCAGCCUGGCCAACAUGGUGAAACCCUGUCUCUA